rnacentral:rRNA from 1 species
UACGUAAGUCCCAAGCGUUACCCGGAAUUAUUGGGUGUAAAGGGUCCGUAGGCGGACUCAUAAGUUGGAUAUGAAAGACCGAGGCUCAACCUCGAGUUUGUAUCCAAAACUGUGAGUCUAGAAUUAGGGAGAGGUUAGCGGAAUUCUUAGUGUAGGGGUGCAAUCCGUAGAUACUAAGAAGAACACCAAAAGCGAAGGCAGCUAACUGGAACUAUAUUGACGCUGAGGGACGAAAGCGUGGGGAGCGAAGAGG